UACGUAGGGUGCAAGCGUUAUCCGGAAUUAUUGGGCGUAAAGAGCUCGUAGGCGGUUUGUCGCGUCUGCUGUGAAAACUGGAGGCUCAACCUCCAGCCUGCAGUGGGUACGGGCAGACUAGAGUGCGGGUAGGGGAGAUUGGAAUUCCUGGUGUAGCGGUGGAAUGCGCAGAUAUCAGGAGGAACACCGAUGGCGAAGGCAGAUCUCUGGGCCGUAACUGACGCUGAGGAGCGAAAGCAUGGGGAGCGAACAGG
rnacentral:rRNA from 1 species